AGCACGGGUGCGUAACACGUAUGUAACCUACCUUUAUCAGGGGGAUAGCCUCUCGAAAGAGAGAUGAAGCCCGCAUAACAUCACGAUAUAGCAUUAUAAUGUGAUCAACAUAUUUAUAGGAUAAAGAUGGGCAUGCGGAACAUUAGCUAGUUGGUAAGGUAAUGGCUUACCAAGGCUACGAUGUUUAGGGGAUCUGAGAGGAUGACCCCCCACACUGGUACUGAGGGACACGGACCAGACUCCAUACGGGAGGCAGCAGUAAGGAAUAUUGGUCAAUGGGCGGAAGCCUUGAAACCAGCCAUGCCGCGUGCAGGAAGACGGCCCUACGGGUUGUAAACUGCUUUUGCAGGGGGAAUAAACCCAGAUACGUGUAUCUGGCUGAAUGUACUCUGAGAAUAAGGAUCGGUAACUCCGUGCCAGCAGCCCGCGGUAAUACGGAGGAUCCAAGCGUUAUCCGGAUUUAUGGGGUUUAAAGGGUGCGUAGGCGGCCUAUUAAGUCAGGGGUGAAAGACGGUAGCUUAACUAUCGCAGUGCCUUGAUACUUGAUGGGUUUGAAUAAACUAGAAGGGUAAGGCGG
rnacentral:rRNA from 1 species